GAUGAAGAACGUAGCGAAAUGCGAUAAGUAAUGCGAAUUGCAGAAUUCAGUGAGUCAUCGAAUCUUUGAACGCACAUUGCGCCCGCCAGUAUUCUGGCGGGCAUGCCUGUUCGAGCGUCAUUUCAACCCUCAAGCACAGCUUGGUGUUGGGACUCGCGUUAAUUCGCGUUCCCCAAAUUGAUUGGCGGUCACGUCGAGCUUCCAUAGCGUAGUAGUAAAACCCUCGUUACUGGUAAUCGUCGCGGCCACGCCGUUAAACCCCAACUUCUGAAUGUUGACCUCGGAUCAGGUAGGCAUACCCGCUGAACUUAAGCAUAUCAAUAAGCGGAGGA
rnacentral:misc_RNA from 1 species